rnacentral:lncRNA from 1 species
UCCACUAUUAUUGUGUGGGAGUCUAAGUCUCUUUGUAGGUCUCUAAGAACUUGCUUUAUGAACCUGGGUGCUCCUGUAUUGGGUGCAUAUAUAUUUAGGAUAGUUAGCUCUUCUUGUUCCAUUGAUCCCUUUACCAUUUUGUAAUGCCCUUCUUUGUCUCUUUUGAUCUUUGUUGGUUUAAAGUCCGUUUUAUCAGAGACUAGGAUUGCAACCCCUGCUUUUUUUUGUUUUCCAUUUGCUUGGUAGAUCUUCCUCCAUCCCUUUAUUUUCAGCCUAUGUGUGUCUUUGCACAUGAGAUCGUUCUCCUGAAUACAGCACACUGAUGGGUCUAGACUCUUUAUCCAAUUUGCCAGUCUGUGUCUUUUAAUUGGGGUAUUUAGCCCAUUUACGUUUAAGAUUAAUAUUGUUAUGUGUGAAUUUGAUCCUGUCAUUAUGAUGUUAGCUGGUUAUUUUGCCCGUUAGUUGAUGCAGUUUCUUUAUAGUGCUGAUGGUCUUUACACUUUGGCAUGUUUUUGCAGUGGCUUGUCCCAGUCGUUCCUUUCCAUGUUUAGUGCUAAUAUUGGCCCCCACUCUAUUCUGGCUUGUAGGGUUUCUGCUGAGAGAUCCACUGUUAGUCUGAUGUGCUUUCCUUUGUGGGUAACCCGACCUUUCUCUCUGGCUGCCCUUAACAUUUUUCCUUCAUUUCAACCUUGGUGAAUCUGAUGAUUAUGUGUCUUGGGGUUGUUGUUCUCGAGGAAUAUCUUACUGGUGUUCUCUGUAUUUCCUGAAUUUGAAUGUUGGCCUGCCUUGCUAGGUUGGGGGAGUUUUCCUGGAUAAUAUCCUGAGGAGUGUUUUCCAACUUGGUUCCAUUCUCCUGUCACUUUCAGGUACACCAAUCAAAUGUAGAUUUGGUCUUUUCACAUAGUCCCAUACUUCUUGGAGACUUUGUUUGUUUCUUUUCACUCUUUUUUUCUCUAAUCUUGUCUUCUUGCUUUAUUUCAUUAAGUUGAUCUUCAGUCACUGAUAUCCUUUCUUCUGCUUGAUUGAUUUGGCUAUUGAAGCUUGUGUAUGCUUCACGAAGUUCUCAUGGUGCAUUUUUCAGCUCCACCGGGUCAUUUAUGUUCU